GGAUGUGGGAUUGCACAGACAACCAGGAUGUUGGCUUAGAAGCAGCCACUCAUUCAAAGAGUGCGUAAUAGCUCACUGGUCGAGUGAUCCUGCCAGAUUUCCGGGGCUAAUACUUGCUACCGAUGCUACGGCAUCAGUAAUGAUGGGUAGGGGAGCUUCCCAUACGGGUUGAAGCAUGACCGUAAGGAAAUGUGGACAGUAUGGGAGUGAGAAUGUUGGCAUGAGUAGCGAGAUGUGGGUGGGAAUCCCACAGGCCGUAAACCCAAGGUUUCCAGGGGAAGGUUCGUCCGCCCUGGGUUAGUCGGGACCUAAGCUGAGGCCGAAAGGCGUAGGUGAUGGACAACAGGUUGAUAUUCCUGUACUACCGAUAACC
rnacentral:rRNA from 1 species